rnacentral:lncRNA from 15 species
GUCAAAUGCCUCCUUGGCAACGACCUCGUACCCGGAAGUUGUUAAAGUCGCCGCGAAAUAUCAACAAGAGAACUUGAGAGCGGUAGAAAUGUGAUUGAAAAUGUCUUUAUACAAGAUACAACAGUGUCUCUGUUGGACCAAAUGUGAUAGCUGAGUGGGUAGAAAGUUCGCUCAUUUGCGUGUAGUGCUGUGUGGCUGUAAUGCAGCGCAGUAAAGCCGCCGUGAGUGUGGAGGUGAAGCAGGUGAUAGGAGCUCUGUGCAGACUGCUGACGGCCACCGGCCUGGAAAGUGUCCCCGCACCGGAAACCUUCAGGCGGGCUAAAUUUGGUGGUGGACUCGAGGUGGAGGAUCAGUUUUGGCAGCUCCUCACCAACAUCCUUCAGACAGCUGGCAUUGUUUCCUGUGAAGCUGGUGCACAGCUAGGUGGAGCCCCAGAGCACCGGAAGCUGGUAGCUGCAGGCCUCUGGCAGACUGGAUACCAUGCUGACUGGAUGUGUGGCAGGGAGGGAGGAGAAGGGGGCAAGGGACAGAGUUUUUCCAGCAGAGACCUCCUCCUGGCGCUGGCCUGGCUGCUCACUGCUGGAACACUGGAGAAACUGCUGACACAGCGAGUGCAGCGAUUGGACAAAACAUUACUCACACCUCCACCUGUAAUGGUGAACACUCAGCCGUCUGGUGAGCUCCAGUUAGACUCGGCAUCUCUGAGGAAACUUCAGUGGCUCAUUGGUUGUUUGAGAUACCAGUGGCGGACCCUGCUGUCCAUGCAAGAAGAGCGAACUCAUCUGCUCCAUGCUGUCUCUAUUGCCCCCCUCCCCCCCCUCGCAUCCUCUGAUCAGAGCUCAGCAGUUCUAAGGGAGGACUGUGUUUGUAUGCGGCAGCUCUGUGAGCUCCUAGAAGCAUAUCUGAAUUGGAGACAGGUGGAGAAAGUCUUCUGGACCUGGAUGGACAGUGUGGUGGACUGCCAUCUGACAGAUCCUGAUGUUGAGAAGCCUACAUAUGCACCCAAUGGGAGUGUGAGAGUGUGUCACCACGGAAACCGGGGGCUGGAGAAAUUGGAGGAAAUGCUAUUGAGACUGCCCACAGGACAGAAAGGACAGAGUAGAGGCAGAGGGGACGCAGCGGACAGAGGAGAAAGAGGAGAGAGGUUGCAGCAACAAUCGGACACCUCCUCCCUCCCUCCUCUUCUCUCCUCUCUCCCAUUCCCUCCCUCCCUCUCCCAGGUCUACCGAGCCAGGCUCCAGACUGAGAGGCCAGUCAAAAACAGGAGCCACCUACCAGAGGGGCCCCGUGGCAGGGCUGAGGCUCCACACGAGCUCCCAGCGUCUCAGGCUGCGCAGCUGCUUCUUCAGACAGAGGCUUUGCUGCUGGAGCGGAGGGACAGGCAGAGACAGGCCAAUAGGAUGCGGCUGCAGGAGAUGGUUGGCAGGCUGGAUGAACUGGUGUUGAUACCCCCAUAGACUGUUUUUGAUUUCCAGGCAGCGUGGGAUAUGACUGCUAUUUCUGUGAUGGAAGUGUUCUGAUAUUCAGGAAGCUGAUUUAUUCAUUCAGAAAUAACAUCCAUCAAAGGAUGG